rnacentral:rRNA from 1 species
CGGCAGUGGCGGGCGUGCCUAUACAUGCAGUCGAGCGAAUCGAUGGGAGCUUGCUCCCUGAGAUUAGCGGCGGACGGGUGAGUAACACGUGGGCAACCUGCCUAUAAGACUGGGAUAACUUCGGGAAACCGGAGCUAAUACCGGAUACGUUCUUUUCUCGCAUGAGAGAAGAUGGAAAGACGGUUUACGCUGUCACUUAUAGAUGGGCCCGCGGCGCAUUAGCUAGUUGGUGAGGUAAUGGCUCACCAAGGCGACGAUGCGUAGCCGACCUGAGAGGGUGAUCGGCCACACUGGGACUGAGACACGGCCCAGACUCCUACGGGAGGCAGCAGUAGGGAAUCUUCCGCAAUGGACGAAAGUCUGACGGAGCAACGCCGCGUGAACGAAGAAGGCCUUCGGGUCGUAAAGUUCUGUUGUUAGGGAAGAACAAGUACCAGAGUAACUGCUGGUACCUUGACGGUACCUAACCAGAAAGCCACGGCUAACUACGUGCCAGCAGCCGCGGUAAUACGUAGGUGGCAAGCGUUGUCCGGAAUUAUUGGGCGUAAAGCGCGCGCAGGUGGUUCCUUAAGUCUGAUGUGAAAGCCCACGGCUCAACCGUGGAGGGUCAUUGGAAACUGGGGAACUUGAGUGCAGAAGAGGAAAGUGGAAUUCCAAGUGUAGCGGUGAAAUGCGUAGAGAUUUGGAGGAACACCAGUGGCGAAGGCGACUUUCUGGUCUGUAACUGACACUGAGGCGCGAAAGCGUGGG